ACAGAUUCCCCAUGAUGGAGAGAGAAGAGGAUCUCAACAUUGUGCAGAUUUCACAGAAUAUGUUGAGCUAAGAGAACCAGACGAAUCACCACCUGGCAGAACACAGACACAAGAAGAAAAGUUAACAGAAACAAGAAAUCAGUAUGGUAAACAUCAUUCUGUUAUUUUAUUAGUUU